AUUGAACGCUGGCGGCAUGCUUUACACAUGCAAGUCGAACGGUAACAGGUUAAGCUGACGAGUGGCGAACGGGUGAGUAAUGCAUCGGAACGUGCCCGAUCGUGGGGGAUAACGCAGCGAAAGCUGCGCUAAUACCGCAUACGAUCUGAGGAUGAAAGCGGGGGACCGUAAGGCCUCGCGCGAUCGGAGCGGCCGAUGUCAGAUUAGGUAGUUGGUGGGGUAAAGGCUCACCAAGCCAACGAUCUGUAGCUGGUCUGAGAGGACGACCAGCCACACUGGGACUGAGACACGGCCCAGACUCUUACGGGAGGCAGCAGAGGGGAAUUUUGGACAGUGGGCGAAAGCCUGAUCCAGCAAUGCCGCGUGCAGGAAGAAGGCCUUCGGGUUGUAAACUGCUUUUGUACGGAGCGAAAAGGCUCUCUCUAAUACAGGGGGCUCAUGACGGUACCGUAAGAAUAAGCACCGGCUAACUACGUGCCAGCCGCCGCCGUAA
rnacentral:rRNA from 1 species